rnacentral:rRNA from 1 species
UGGGGAAUAUUGGACAAUGGGCGCAAGCCUGAUCCAGCCAUGCCGCGUGAGUGAUGAAGGCCCUAGGGUUGUAAAGCUCUUUCACCGGUGAAGAUAAUGACGGUAACCGGAGAAGAAGCCCCGGCUAACUUCAUGCCCGCAGCCGCGGUAAUACGAAGGGGGCUAGCGUUGUUCGGAUUUACUGGGCGUAAAGCGCACGUAGGCGGACUAUUAAGUCAGGGGUGAAAUCCCGGGGCUCAACCCCGGAACUGCCUUUGAUACUGGUAGUCUUGAGUUCGAGAGAGGUGAGUGGAAUUCCGAGUGUAGAAGUGAAAUUCGUAGAUAUUCGGAGGAACACCAGUGGCGAAGGCGGCUCACUGGCUCGAUACUGACGCUGAGGUGCGAAAGCGUGGGGAGCAAACAGG